rnacentral:rRNA from 1 species
UACGUAGGGCGCAAGCGUUAUCCGGAAUUAUUGGGCGUAAAGAGCUCGUAGGCGGUUUGUCGCGUCUGCCGUGAAAGUCCUGGGCUCAACUCCGGAUCUGCGGUGGGUACGGGCAGACUAGAGUGAUGUAGGGGAGACUGGAAUUCCUGGUGUAGCGGUGAAAUGCGCAGAUAUCAGGAGGAACACCGAUGGCGAAGGCAGGUCUCUGGGCAUUAACUGACGCUGAGGAGCGAAAGCAUGGGGAGCGAACAGG